GAUGAACGCUUGCGGCAGGCUUAAUACAUGCAAGUCGAACGGUAACAGGGUCUUCGGACUGCUGACGAGUGGCGGAUGGGUGAGUAACGCGUAUGCAACCUUCCUUACAUCGAGAAAAAGUCGACUGAAAAGUUGAAUAAAGUCUCGUGGUGUACAUUUCUCGCAUGAGAGAUGUAUGAUAGAAGCAAUUUGGUGUGAGAUGGGCAUGCGUAUCAUUAGCUAGUUGGUAAGGUAACGGCUUACCAAGGCGACGAUGAUUAGGGGGCCUGAGAGGGUGGUCCCCCACACUGGGACUGAGACACGGCCCAGACUCCUACGGGAGGCAGCAGUAGGGAAUAUUGGUCAAUGGGCGGAAGCCUGAACCAGCCAUGCCGCGUGAUGGAUGACGGCCUUAGGGUUGUAAACAUCUUUUCUGCUAGAGGAAUAGAGUUCACGCGUGGACAGACGACUGUAUAGCAGGAAUAAGGAUCGGCUAACUCCGUGCCAGCAGCCGCGGUAAUACGGAGGAUUCGAGCGUUAUCCGGAUUUACUGGGUUUAAAGGGUGCGCAGGCGGGCUCUUAAGUCAGCGGUGAAAUGUCUGGGCUUACCCUAGGAAUUGCCGUUGAUACUGGGAGUCUUGGAUAAGCAUAAGGACGGCGGAAUGCGUAGUGUAGCGGUGAAAUGCUUAGAUAUUACGUAGAAGACCAAUUGCGAAGGCAGCUGUCUGGGUCUUUAUCGACGCUCAAGCACGAAAGCGUGGGGAGCAAACAGG
rnacentral:rRNA from 1 species